rnacentral:rRNA from 1 species
AUUGAACGCUGGCGGCAGGCUUAACACAUGCAAGUCGAGCGAGCGGCGGACGGGUGAGUAAUGUCUGGGAAACUGCCUGAUGGAGGGGGAUAACUACUGGAAACGGUAGCUAAUACCGCAUACCAUCAGAUGUGCCCAGAUGGGAUUAGCUAGUAGGGGGGGUAAUGGCUCACCUAGGCGACGAUCCCUAGCUGGUCUGAGAGGAUGACCAGCCACACUGGGAGUGCGACACGGUCCAGACUCCUACGUGAGGCAGCAGUGGGGAAUAUUGCACAAUGGGCGCAAGCGUGAGGCAGCCAGGCCGCGUGUGUGAAGAAGGCCGUAGGGUUGUAAAGCACUUGCAGCGAGGAGGCGUGACUCGCAGAAGAAGCACCGGCUAACUCCGUGCCAGCAGCCGCGGUAAUUC